UGGAUUAGUGGCGAACGGGUGAGUAACACGUGAGUAACCUGCCCUUGACUCUGGGAUAAGCCUGGGAAACUGGGUCUAAUACCGGAUAUGACCUUCCAUCGCAUGGUGGUUGGUGGAAAGCUUUUGUGGUUUUGGAUGGACUCGCGGCCUAUCAGCUUGUUGGUGGGGUAAUGGCCUACCAAGGCGACGACGGGUAGCCGGCCUGAGAGGGUGACCGGCCACACUGGGACUGAGACACGGCCCAGACUCCUACGGGAGGCAGCAGUGGGGAAUAUUGCACAAUGGGCGCAAGCCUGAUGCAGCGACGCCGCGUGAGGGAUGACGGCCUUCGGGUUGUAAACCUCUUUCAGUAGGGAAGAAGCGUAAGUGACGGUACCUGCAGAAGAAGCGCCGGCUAACUACGUGCCAGCAGCCGCGGUAAUACGUAGGGCGCAAGCGUUAUCCGGAAUUAUUGGGCGUAAAGAGCUCGUAGGCGGUUUGUCGCGUCUGCCGUGAAAGUCCGGGGCUCAACUCCGGAUCUGCGGUGGGUACGGGCAGACUAGAGUGAUGUAGGGGAGACUGGAAUUCCUGGUGUAGCGGUGAAAUGCGCAGAUAUCAGGAGGAACACCGAUGGCGAAGGCAGGUCUCUGGGCAUUAACUGACGCUGAGGAGCGAAAGCAUGGGGAGCGAACAGGAUUAGAUACCCUGGUAGUCCAUGCCGUAAACGUUGGGCACUAGGUGUGGGGGACAUUCCACGUUUUCCGCGCCGUAGCUAACGCAUUAAGUGCCCCGCCUGGGGAGUACGGCCGCAAGGCUAAAACUCAAAG
rnacentral:rRNA from 1 species